rnacentral:rRNA from 1 species
CGCCUCCUGACUAAACAUAGGAGGUCAGGCCUGCCCAGUGACAUUGUUCAACGGCCGCGGUAUCCUAACCGUGCGAAGGUAGCGUAAUCACUUGUUCUUUAAAUGAGGACUAGUAUGAACGGCUUCACGAGAGCUAUGCUGUCUCCUUUAUCCAAUCAGUAAAACUAAUCUCCCCGUGAAGAAGCGGGGAUACAAUUAUAAGACGAGAAGACCCUAUGGAGCUUUAAAUUCUUUUAACAUUUGAACUACGUAUAAAACUUUCAGAAAACUUCAUUAAACCAAUCAUUUUGUUUCAGGUUUUAGGUUGGGGUGACCACGGAGAAAAAAUUAACCUCCACGUGGAAAGAAGCUAUCUUCUAAGCAAAAAGCUACACCUUUAUGCAUCAACACAUUGACCUAAAUUGACCCAAUUGCUUGAUCAACGAACCAAGUUACCCUAGGGAUAACAGCGCAAUCCGCUUUAAGAGCUCCUAUCGACAAGCGGGCUUACGACCUCGAUGUUGGAUCAGGGUAUCCUAGUGGUGCAGCAGCUACUAACGGUUCGUUUGUUCAACGAUUAAAACCCU